rnacentral:rRNA from 1 species
GACGAACGCUGGCGGCGUGCUUAACACAUGCAAGUCGAACGGAAAGGCCCUGCUUUUGUGGGGUGCUCGAGUGGCGAACGGGUGAGUAACACGUGAGUAACCUGCCCUUGACUUUGGGAUAACUUCAGGAAACUGGGGCUAAUACCGGAUAGGAGCUCCUGCUGCAUGGUGGGGGUUGGAAAGUUUCGGCGGGUGGGGAUGGACUCGCGGCUUAUCAGCUUGUUGGUGGGGUAGUGGCUUACCAAGGCUUUGACGGGUCGCCGGCCGGAGAGGGUGACCGGCCACAAUGGGACUGAGAUACGACCCAGACUCCUACGGGAGGCAGCAGUGGGGAACAUUGCACAAUGGGCGGAAGCCUGAUGCAGCAACGCUGCGUGCGGGAUGACGGCCUGCGGGUUGUAAACCGCUUUCGCCUGUGACGAAGCGUGAGUGACGGUAAUGGGUAAAGAAGCACCGGCUAACUACGUG